UGCCGCCAAAAACUCCGAAGCCGCUUUUGCCUACGUUCUGCAGCAGCUUGACUCAUUCAGGCACACAGAAUAGGGCAUGACGGCCGUAGCACAGAUGAUGCUACCGGGUUCGGUGAGAAAUUACCGGGCCUCCCGACAUUGGAAAGGUGUUUUCAGGUGCAGCAA
rfam:Plesiomonas shigelloides 302-73 genomic scaffold scaffold00002, whole genome shotgun sequence.